CAAUAGCGUAUAUUAAAGUUGUUGCAGUUAAAAAGCUCGUAGUUGGAUUUCUGGUGGGAGCGAUCGGUCUGGCGCUUAGCGCGAGUACUUGCAUCGUCUCCGGCCAUCCUUGGGGAGAGUCUGUCUGGCAUUAGGUUGUCGGGCAGAGGAUCCUCAUCGUUUACUGUGAAAAAAUUAGAGUGUUCAAAGCAGGCUUAUGCCGUUGAAUAUAUUAGCAUGGAAUAAUAAGAUAGGACUUUGGUACUAUUUUGUUGGUUUGCGCACCAAAGUAAUGAUUAAUAGGGACAGUUGGGGGUAUUCGUAUUCCGUUGUCAGAGGUGUAAUUCUUGGAUUUACGGAAGACGAACUACUGCGAAAGCAUUUACCAAGGAUGUUUUCAUUAA
rnacentral:rRNA from 1 species